rnacentral:tRNA from 3 species
GGGGGCGUAGCUCAGCUGGGAGAGCGCUUGAAUGGCAUUCAAGAGGUCAGCGGUUCGAACCCGCUCGUCUCCA